rnacentral:rRNA from 1 species
ACCCCAACAAGGGGUGCGGCGUGCGGUUUAAUCCAACUCAACACGGAGAAUCUCACCAGAAGCGCCGGCAGGAUGAAAGCCAAGUUGAAGACUUUGCUCAACAAGCCGAGAGGUGGUGCAUGGCCGUCGUCAGCUCGUGCCGUGAGGUGUCCUGUUAAGUCAGGCAACGAGCGAGACCUGUACUUACAAUUGCAAACAGCUCGAUCCGAGGACUGUGCACAUUGUGAGGACUGCCCUGGAAACAGGGAGGAAGGUGCAGGCAACGGUAGGUCUGUAUGCCCCGAAUCUUUUGGGCUACACGCGCGCAACAAUGGUAGGGACAAUGGGAUACAACUCCGAAAGGAGAAGUUAAUCCUCGAAACCCUAUCUCAGUUCAGAUUGAGGUUUGUAACUCAGCCUCAUGACGCCGGAAUCCCUAGUAACCAGACGUUAGCAUCGUCCGGUGAAUAUGUCCCUGCUCCUUGCACACACCGCCCGU